GGUUUUCUGAUCCAAAUUAUAUAUAUUUCAUGCAGCUGGGAAUUGAGGAUGGUGAUGAAAUGCUUGUUAUGCUUCAUCUGAGAAGACAUGUUUAGUGGAAAAAUUAUAAUGAAAAGCUUGCCAUGCUUCAUUGUAGAUGGAACUGGUUUAACUUUGGACUAGGCAAAUUAAUGCAUAAUAUAUGUACCUUCUAUUUUCUAGUAAUAUUAUGGUGCUGUUGCAGCUGCUGACUUUGCACUUCCUAAUUAUAACCUUAGUUUAAUUUAUGGAUGGAUUAUCAUAGUUAUAUAUGCAUCAGUUGCCUCCAUGAGGUUGUGAUGUAUAGAAGAAUAUAUGAACUCUGAAUGGGUAUUGUUGGAUAUUGGACUUAUGUCCUAAAAAGUUUAUAAAAAUGAAUUUUACUAGUUGACAUGUAAUUUUAGUUUUGAUGGUUCCCAAAAGUUGAUGAAAAUUUCACCCUUACGAAAUUAUAAAAAUACUCUUGUUCGUUGCAGCANNNNNNNNNNNNNNNNNNNNNNNNNNNNNNNNNNNNNNNNNNNNNACCACCGGAAAAUCUCCAGAUCCACGCCGGAACACUACACCUCUGUCAGAGCUUCAAGGAACCAACACCCUACUGCAAGUUUGCAAACAACACCACCAAAUCACCACCAGAACCGCCGUAGUAACAAGAUGUGACACCACCAAAUCACCAACAUAAUCGCCUCAGUAACAAGAUGCGCCGGAAAACCACUUGAAACCUCCAAAAUCCCGCCACCAUAACACUGCACCUCUGCUGGGGUAGCAGGAAAAACUUCACAACAAAAACCACACCGUCGGAGAGCACGAAACCCACCUAAUAAUAACAUCCAAAUGCAUCGGAACACACACCAUAAAGGUUGAGUUACCGGAGAAACUGGAUUACAAGGUGGUGUCGAGGGCCGACGGCCACUCAUCACACCACCAUAAUUGAUUCUACAUUUUUUAAGAGGGGUUUUGGAUGUUAGGGUUUGCUGGCGGCGGAAGGGGGGUCAGUGGAGUCUUAAUGUCAUCAAUGGGACGUAUAAUCACAUAAUGGCAAAAAGGUUUGAAGGUCACAAAUAAGUCUAGCGGCUUAAAUCGGAAGAGGCAAUAUUGGUGUUUCUAUUUCGACUCCGUGUUUCUUUUAUACGCUUUGAAUUUUCAAUUUUGCCCUUGUAAAAAACUCCGAUUUAUAGAAACCAUAGUUUUUUUACCUUGAAAUUUUUUUUACCCUACCCACUGUAGGUAUUUUUUUAAGGUACUCAUUAAGUAUGAGCUAAAUUGACAUCCAUAUUUUUCCCGAUCAUUUUUAGAUUCUGAUAGUUUUUUAAAAGCCGUGACAGCAAACAAAUGCAAUAUUUUUAAAAGUAAUUUUUUUUAUAAAAAUAAAAGUGAUACUAAUAGUUGGUUCAGUGGUGAUUGGCGCUGAACUAAGUAGGAAAGACCGCGGUUCGAUCCCUGCAACUACAAUCGGAAGGUUGAAACCACUUGAUGCCAAAAUUGAUCUCGAAUCAGAUUAAACUGGUGGCGAAAUCAAAAAAAAAAAUAAAAAAAUAAAUGGGAACAUUCAUUCAUUUAUGUUAACCUUUACAUAACAGUUCACUUCUUACUUGACAGUUUUUUCAUCAUCGGAGACGCCGUGGAUUGAUGGAGCCAACCAAUCACAUAUGGGUCAUCGUCAAAGAAACGGUUCGUUAAUUCCUUCUCUAUCUAAGUUCUUAAUAAUAAUAAUAGUAAUAAAUUUGCAAUUCCAUUUGAUUUUUGAAUGUUGUUGUUGUAAUGUAGAAUGGGAUUCAAAACAUACAUUUUAGGAUGAGAAGAAAUUAUCAAAUGAAAAAGAUGAUGAAUGUUUACUGUGAUCGUUCAUCUCUUGAUUUCGACUCAAUCGUUUUUUUCUUUAAAGGUGUUCGCAUUUGGCCAGAUCAGACUCCAUACGAGGUAUUAGUACUUCCUUAAUUUCUCUUUUUGUUAGGAUUCAAUUAUUUGAACUUAUCCGCGAUAAACACUUGUGAUAUUGUUUGGGAGAACUUACUUACUUUUGAAAAUAGAUUAUGAGAUGUUCAUAAGUUGUUUUUAGUAAGCUAAGCUCUUUAUGAUUAGCUUAUGAAAAUAGUUUGACUUUGAUUUUAUCUUUGUGCAGUAGAAAUAGCUUAUUCAUAAGCACUUUAUGGGCCUGUUUGUUUGAGAUUUAAAAAAAAAAAAAAAAUUGAAAAAAAAUCAUUUUCAAGAAAAUAAAGCUAUCUUCUGUUUGUUUACAAUAAAAAUCUAUUUUUUUUAAGAUGGUUAAGGAUGAUGAGUGAUAAAAAAAUAGAUUUUGAUAAAAGCUAAUGAAAAUAGAUUUUCAUUUUGAUGAAAAAAAUGAUUUUUUUACUAAAAUUAUUUUUGAAAAAAUCUGAAACAAACACAAGAUAAAAAAAUGGAUUUUUUUUUGAAAAAAUAGAUUUUUUUGAUGAAAAAUCUUAAACAAACAGGCCCUAUAUGUCAAGAGCUUAUGCAAUUAGCUGCAAAAUAAGAUGGUUAUCUAAAUAUAGGGCUAAAAUCACUAAACUUUUAGGGUUUGUUUGAGAGAUUAGAAGGGAAAGAGAGGGGAAGACUUUGGAAAAAGAAACGCGGAAAGAAAAAUGGAAGAAAUGAUGAUAAAUGUAUUGGAAAACACAUUUCCAUGAAUGCUACCUUUAACCUUUAAAGGACUAAAAACACCAACGCUUUUUGACACACAAAUUUGAUAACAAACUUACACAACAAUUUAGAUGGUUAACAUAUUAACAAAGUUCAAAAAAAGGUGGUUAAUUGCGUUCAGUGGAUAAUUAAUUUCUAUAAUAAGGUGUCACAACUAAUUAACCAUGCUCUCUGAAUGUGAUUAACUGUGAUUUCUUAGGUGUUCAAAUAUACAUCACAUACAUUAGUCAUAAUCUGUGUUAAAAUUUACACCUAAAGAUCAUGGUUAAUGCCGUUGAAAAUCGUGGUUGGUUCAGUGGAGACUUUUAAUUAGUAAGAACACUUUGUUAUAUUCAUUAAUUAUCUAUCUAAUGCAAUUAAUCAAUGUAUUCGAGUCUAAACCUGAUAUUUUAUAACUAAACAAAUAUUUAACUCAUUAUUGUUAUACUCUAUAUUAUUGAGUUUUGACUUGAAAAUUAUAUUUUGCUGCAGCUAGAUAUAGAAGAUGGGGAUGAAAUAGAUGCUGCCUUGUAUGAACAUUGGAGAGAAUGCAUCAACAUCGAUGUCAAAGGCCAGGUUCGUCUGUUCCUUCCAUUCUUUUGGGUUUUCAGUCUAAUGUUGAUUUUUAUUUUUUUAUUUUGAGAUGCCUAUGUUUUUCUUAUUAGUAACCUUUUCACCAAUAUUAUCGAUAACUGAUCUUAAUAGGGUCUUUGGUCUAUCCAUGUUUUUUCAUCCACAAUGCUCAAAUUCGAGUACUAACUGUAAGAUAUUUGAGUCCAUAUCUACUUGGAGUAAGUUAAUGUUGGUUGAGGACUGAGGAGGCUUUGUUUAUGGUUUAUUUUGAAUCUGGAUUCAUGGGGUUGGAUGAAAUUUAAAACUUAGAAGUUCCGUUGUCGAAAGUAGGUUUUUUGGAAGGAGAUGAGCUUUUGUUUGCCUUUGAAAGAGGAAAAACAGUGUUUAUCUGACUUUGGAUUUUCUAUCCAGAUUUUACUUUGUUACUAAAAGCCUAUUGAAAGUGUUAUUGAUAGAAUAUUCAUAAAUUGAAGUUAAAUAAUUUGAAUUCUUCACUUAAGUUAAAGUUUUAAAAAGGUCUUUUAUCUUCUUUUUUUCGUGUCAAGUUUGUCCUUUAUAAAAUGUUUACACAUUUGAACCAACUUUCGUUCUUAAUCCAUCCACUUAUGUUACACUCUAAGUGGAUUAAGAAUCAGUGUCUAUUUGUGGUGCUGAGUUGUGAAACAUUGUUUAUAGUAUAUAUCAUUUGAUGGUCAAUCACACAACUUUUGUAACAAAAAUUGAUUAAGAAUGAAAGUUGUCUCAACCGUGUAAUGAUAAAAGAUCAAGUUAUUGUCAUAGCUUUGGAAACCUGAACUUGUAUCACCCUAAUUUGGGAAUUUCGGAUAUUGUAGGUUGGGUACGAAGCUUCCUACAGCUUCCAAAGAAACCGUCCAUUGAAAAAGCUUAUGGAUGAAUAUUGCAAUCAAUAUAAUCUGGAUGUUAGCCAAGUUGGUUUUUUGUUUGAUGGGCGUCUCGUCCAAGCUGAGCAGACUCCACACGAGGUUUGUGUUUGUCAACAUCUCUUCAUUAUUUAUUUCAUUUAAAUGUUGGCUAUAUUCUUAUAAUAAUGAUCGUCUCAUUGUCAUAAUUCUUGGUUUUCUGCUCCAAAUUAUAUUUGAUGCAGCUGGGAAUUGAAGAUGGCGAUGAAAUCCUUGCCAUGCUUCAUCUGAGAAGACAUGUUUAGUGUUUAUGAAGAAAUGCUUGCCAUGCUUCAUUGUAGAUGAAAUUAGUUUAACUUUGGACUAGGCAAGUUAAUGCAGAAUAUAUGUACCUUCUAUUUUCUAGUAAUAUUAUGCAUCAGUUGCAGCUGUACUUUGCACUUCCUAAUUAAUUAAUCUUAGGUAGUAUAAAUUAUGGAUGGGAUUAUCAGACUCAUAGUUAAUAUGCAUCAGUUGGCUCCAUGAGGUUGUGAUCUGUAGAAUAUAUGAACUCUGAAUGGCUAUUGAAUUUUAGGCUUAUGUUCUAAAAAUGAAUUUUAUGAAAAUGAAUUUUAGUAGUUGACAUGUAA
rnacentral:lncRNA from 1 species